AGUGAACGCUGGCGGUAGGCCUAACACAUGCAAGUCGAACGGCAGCACAGUAAGAGCUUGCUCUUACGGGUGGCGAGUGGCGGACGGGUGAGGAAUACAUCGGAAUCUACUUUUUCGUGGGGGAUAACGUAGGGAAACUUACGCUAAUACCGCAUACGACGUACGGGUGAAAGCAGGGGAGCUUCGGACCUUGCGCGAUUGAAUGAGCCGAUGUCGGAUUAGCUAGUUGGCGGGGUAAGGGCCCACCAAGGCGACGAUCCGUAGCUGGUCUGAGAGGAUGAUCAGCCACACUGGAACUGAGACACGGUCCAGACUCCUACGGGAGGCAGCAGUGGGGAAUAUUGGACAAUGGGCGCAAGCCUGAUCCAGCCAUACCGCGUGGGUGAAGAAGGCCUUCGGGUUGUAAAGCCCUUUUGUUGGGAAAGAAAAGCAGCAGGUUAAUACCCCGCUGUUCUGACGGUACCCAAAGAAUAAGCACCGGCUAACUUCGUG
rnacentral:rRNA from 1 species